GAUGAACGCUGGCGGCGUGCCUAAUACAUGCAAGUCGAGCGAACGGACGAGAAGCUUGCUUCUCUGAUGUUAGCGGCGGACGGGUGAGUAACACGUGGAUAACCUACCUAUAAGACUGGGAUAACUUCGGGAAACCGGAGCUAAUACCGGAUAAUAUUUUGAACCGCAUGGUUCAAAAGUAAAAGACGGUCUUGCUGUCACUUAUAGAUGGAUCCGCGCUGCAUUAGCUAGUUGGUAAGGUAACGGCUUACCAAGGCAACGAUGCAUAGCCGACCUGAGAGGGUGAUAGCCCACACUGGAACUGAGACACGGUCCAGACUCCUACGGGAGGCAGCAGAAGGCAAUCUUCCGCAGUGGGCGAAAGCCUGGCGGAGCAGGGCCACGUGAGUGAUGAAGGUCUUCGGAUCGUAAAACUCUGUUAUUGGGGAAAAACAGAUGUGUACGUAACUGUGCACAUCUUGACGGUACCUGGUCAAGAAGCAACGGCUAACUACGUG
rnacentral:rRNA from 1 species